CCUGUACUUGGUGUUACUGCGAAGGGGGGACGGAGAAGGCUAUGUUGGCCGGGCGACGGUUGUCCCGGUUUAAGCGUGUAGGUGUGUGUUCCAGGUAAAUCCGGUUCACUUUAACACUGAGGCGUGACGACGAGGCACUACGGUGCUGAAGCAACAAAUGCCCUGCUUCCAGGAAAAGCCUCUAAGCAUCAGGUAACAUCAAAUCGUACCCCAAACCGACACAGGUGGUCAGGUAGAGAAUAC
rnacentral:rRNA from 1 species